UCUAAUAUGUGAAGCCUCCCCAAAUAGGGUAAGGUACGCUCUACUCUCUCCAAAUCCCACUUUGUGGGAUUUCACUGGGUAUGUUGUUGUUGAGUAUGUGAAGCCUGGUAUAAGUGCAUCUAGGGCCAGUCAUUUUUCGCUUCUCCAUUACUUGGGCUGAACAUGUGAACUUAUUCAAACUAUUUGCUACUUACACUUUUACCAGUCACCACCUUACCUCCUUUGCACCCUCGACUGAUAUCACAUCCUAUCAAAUUUAUGUCCAACCAAGCGAGAAGUAACUUAGAAAAUGGUCUUGUAUUAUUCUUUUUUUAAUUGCGUAGAACAUUUUACAUCAUAUUAGAGUAUCUUAUUUCAUAUGAAGUUUGACAGGCAUGUGACAGAAAGUGUGCUCAAGCGCAUUUUCGGGUUGGAAGAUCGUAGUUCUGGUAACACUAGUGUGUUGUGAAAGAUGAAUACAACGUUUAGUUGUUGAAUAGACUCUUUUGUUAGUUACGGUGAUUUGCAAAUAAAAUUAAGUUGGUGAGUGUGAGCAUCAUUAAAAGAUAACCCCUCCAACUUAAGACGUUCUACUUUGAUGUUUGCCACAGCUAUAUAUUCUAUAAUGUCGAAAUGAACUUAGUAAUAUUAGGUAUGACAUGAUUGUUUCGGUUUCAUAUUAUUUUUACUUACCAAGCAAGCUUUGAGUCUUUGUCUUUUAGAUAGGACAUUUUUUCUCCUUAUCUUGUACCUGUCCGUCGGUUGAUAAGCUUAUAGCAGCAAAGACGAUGUGCUAAGCUUAUUUCUCUUCCUUUCAUGGAUAUUAAGAGUAGAUAUCCGAGGGGUUUCAUGCACAUUUUCUUUUCUUCUUAAAGCUAUAGCAUGUUGAUUUACUGAUGUGAAUGGCAGUCUUAUGCUGUCAAGAUUAGUGAUUUCAAUUCUUUUCUUCUUACACUUGUGGCAUGUUGAUUUUCUGAUGCGAAUAAUUGUUGUGUGCUGUAUGUAUACUUUGCCCAUAUAGUUUGGAGAUUCCUUCAUUUUCUUGUUCAUUUCUGCAGAUUCUAACUGACCGACUGACGAUAACUGAUUAUUGUUAUAUGAUGCCUCCCGAGGGCACAAGGCUUGAAUGUCGAAGUUUACCUCCAUAUACACUUAGCAACCUUCCUGAUGAUGUAAUCGAUGCCCUUCUAAUGUGUUUGCCUUUGCGAGAUGUUGUGAGGACAAGCAUCUUAUUUAAGAAAUAGAGGUAUAUCUGGAGCAGCCUUCCGCAAUUGACGCUGAUCAAACACUUUGGAAUACGACAAAGGACUUCAUAUCCCCGAUAGUUAAAUUUACAAACAAUAUCUAUCACACUUUGACCCUUCAUUCCUGACCGAUUAAGAAAUUUACCCCCCGCAUCGCUAACCUAGAGAACUGCCCUAAAUUUGACAACUUGAUGUAUUUUCUUUCUAAGAAUGACAUUCAGGAUCUUGUUGUUCAUCUUCCAAACAAAAACUCAUACAAACAUUAAUUGCCACCUUCAUUUUUCACAUGUUUGGGGAUGAGGCAUCUGUCUCUCGAAAAUUGUUUUUACAUCAUCCACCGGACUUCAAUGGAUUUGAUAGGUUAGUUAGCCUAGAACUGUAUGAAGUCACAAUUACUUUCAAAUCACUUGAAAUUUUAGUCAAUCACAGCCUGUUUCUUGAGCGUUUGGUGCUACAAGAAUUAUAUAUUCAAGAUCAUAUUCAAGUUAGUGCUGCCAAGCUAAGAUACUUCAAUUUCACAGACAUUAUAAUAUCUGUUUCUUUAAAAAAUGUCCCUCUUCUUGAGGAACUUUCACUUUGGGAUCCGAAAUCUUCUGAAAAUGCAGGGGAAUCUGAUAUUUCCAAGUUGUUUGAGUGUUGUCUUGAUAUUAAGUAUCUCCACGUGAAUCACAGUGUUGUCCAGGAAACUGUUGAUUCACAACUUCAUUGUAAUGUAUUUUCCUAUAACAUCUUUUCGGCUCUGAGUCAUCCUAAUUUUUGGCAUUUGUCUUCCUAGUCCUUGGCUACAGGAGCUGGUGAAGUACCAACAAGGCUUCCUUGUGCUUUUAACCGUCUUAGACGUCUUCGCUUAUCUGAUAUUAGUCUGAGAGAAUUAGAUGAGGUUUCAGGUGCCUUUUGCUUGAUCAGAAGCUGCCCAUAUUUACAUGAUAUGGAAAUAGAGGUGUUCAAUGACGAUGAUAGUGAAAUUCCUGCACUAGAUUCCCUUGAAAGCUUCGCAGAUGUGACAUUUAAUCACCUCAGAACAGUUAAACUAGAAGGCAUUAUAGGAACAAAGCUCGAGAUGCAGCUUAUCAAGAUUCUAUUAGCCAAGGCCCCAGUGUUGAUAAGGAUGCAAAUAGAGCCUGGGGUAGGAGAUAACUCUCCACAAACAAGACUCCAAGUACUUGUAGAACUAACAAGAUUUCGUCGUGCAUCAACUGAAGCAGUUGUGUAUAACUUAGACUGCAAUGCAGUUUGAUCUUAUCUUUUGGCAGACCAUGAUCUUGGCUAAAAGUGCUCUGGCAGUUAAAAAUCAAUAGAUCGAAAUUAAUGUCGAGGCAGUAGUAUAAGGUUGUGUUUUUUCCUAUCUCACAGUUGAUAGAAGACUUGGAUGUUUUAACUUAGCUUGUUUGUCACUGUGGCAAUGCUCAGUGUUUAAAUUUCAUGCUUGUUAUUGAUUGAUCUAUGAAAUGAGACAUAGCAUGAAUUGACACU